rnacentral:rRNA from 1 species
GACGAACGCUGGCGGCGUGCUUAACACAUGCAAGUCGAACGGAAAGGCCCUGCUUUUGUGGGGUGCUCGAGUGACGAACGGGUGAGUAACACGUGAGUAACCUGCCCUUGACUUUGGGAUAACUUCAGGAAACUGGGGCUAAUACCGGAUAGGAGCUCCUGCUGCAUGGUGGGGGUUGGAAAGUUUCGGCGGUUGGGGAUGGACUCGCGGCUUAUCAGCUUGUUGGUGGGGUAGUGGCUUACCAAGGCUUUGACGGGUAGCCGGCCUGAGAGGGUGACCGGCCACAUUGGGACUGAGAUACGGCCCAGGCUCCUACGGGAGGCAGCAGUGGGGAAUAUUGCACAAUGGGCGGAAGCCUGAUGCAGCAACGCCGCGUGCGGGAUGACGGCCUUCGGGUUGUAAACCGCUUUCGCCUGUGACGAAGCGUGAGUGACGGUAAUGGGUAAAGAAGCACCGGCUAACUACGU